rnacentral:lncRNA from 1 species
CGAGAGGAGGCGGGCAGGCUGGUGGGCUGGGCGGGCGGCGAGCGGCCGGGAGCGCGCGGUGGACUCGGCCGCGGCGAGUAGUUAGUUAGUUGUUGUUAGUCAGUGUCAGUUGCUCGGCGGCGGCGGCCGUGGUCACCAGGAAGGGGACGGGACGGACGGUGAUGGUGGUCGCCGCGGCGGCGUGUGCGCCCCUCAGGUAUCUGCCCAAACUGGAACUUAUGCUGUAGACAUUUCUUUGUGGUUUAUCUAAAAACCAAAGUUGAAUUCUUUUAGAAGAAGGGAAAAACC